CAGGCUUAACACAUGCAAGUCGAGGGGCAGCACAGGUAGCAAUACCGGGUGGCGACCGGCGCACGGGUGAGUAACGCGUAUGCAACUUGCCUAUCAGAGGGGGAUAACCCGGCGAAAGUCGGACUAAUACCGCAUGAAGCAGGGGCCCCGCAUGGGGAUAUUUGCUAAAGAUUCAUCGCUGAUAGAUAGGCAUGCGUUCCAUUAGGCAGUUGGCGGGGUAACGGCCCACCAAACCGACGAUGGAUAGGGGUUCUGAGAGGAAGGUCCCCCACAUUGGUACUGAGACACGGACCAAACUCCUACGGGAGGCAGCAGUGAGGAAUAUUGGUCAAUGGCCGAGAGGCUGAACCAGCCAAGUCGCGUGAGGGAUGAAGGUUCUAUGGAUCGUAAACCUCUUUUAUAAGGGAAUAAAGUGCGGGACGUGUCCCGUUUUGUAUGUACCUUAUGAAUAAGGAUCGGCUAACUCCGUGCCAGCAGCCGCGGUAAUACGGAGGAUCCGAGCGUUAUCCGGAUUUAUUGGGUUUAAAGGGUGCGUAGGCGGCCUUUUAAGUCAGCGGUGAAAGUCUGUGGCUCAACCAUAGAAUUGCCGUUGAAACUGGGGGGCUUGAGUAUGUUUGAGGCAGGCGGAAUGCGUGGUGUAGCGGUGAAAUGCAUAGAUAUCACGCAGAACCCCGAUUGCGAAGGCAGCCUGCCAAGCCAUUACUGACGCUGAUGCACGAAAGCGUGGGGAUCAAACAGGAUUAGAUACCCUGGUAGUCCACGCAGUAAACGAUGAUCACUAGCUGUUUGCGAUACACUGUAAGCGGCACAGCGAAAGCGUUAAGUGAUCCACCUGGGGAGUACGCCGGCAACGGUGAAACUCAAAGGAAUUGACGGGGGCCCGCACAAGCGGAGGAACAUGUGGUUUAAUUCGAUGAUACGCGAGGAACCUUACCCGGGUUUGAACGCAUUCGGACCGAGGUGGAAACACCUUUUCUAGCAAUAGCCGUUUGCGAGGUGCUGCAUGGUUGUCGUCAGCUCGUGCCGUGAGGUGUCGGCUUAAGUGCCAUAACGAGCGCAACCCUUGCCACUAGUUACUAACAGGUAAAGCUGAGGACUCUGGUGGGACUGCCAGCGUAAGCUGCGAGGAAGGCGGGGAUGACGUCAAAUCAGCACGGCCCUUACAUCCGGGGCGACACACGUGUUACAAUGGCGUGGACAAAGGGAGGCCACCUGGCGACAGGGAGCGAAUCCCCAAACCACGUCUCAGUUCGGAUCGGAGUCUGCAACCCGACUCCGUGAAGCUGGAUUCGCUAGUAAUCGCGCAUCAGCCAUGGCGCGGUGAAUACGUUCCCGGGCCUUGUACACACCGCCCGUCAAGCCAUGGGAGCCGGGGGUACCUGAAGUCCGUAACCGAAAGGAUCGGCCUAGGGUAAAACUGGUGACUGGGGC
rnacentral:rRNA from 1 species